AUUCUAACCAGAUCUUUAUUCUGUGCCAGUAACAUGGUUUGAAGUUUUGGACAUUUUGGUGACAAUCUAGAAGGAAUUUCUGAUAUGUGAUUGUCAAUCAAGGAUACGCUCUCAAGUUCCUCCAUCCAUCUGUUCUCAUUUGGUAAUUCUCUUAACCGAACUCCAGCUUCUACAAGCAAUUGAUUAUCCAUGCUUUUCAUCUGUAUUACCAUGUCCCUAAUUAGGUCAUGCAUCUUCACAUAUUUCUUAUCACAACUGCUUUCCAAAAGACAAGCAUUUUCAAGCUUGUUUAGCAUAGCAUAACCCUUUUUAAACUCUGCUUGACUAUUUUUCAUUUUAUCUACUAUUCCUACACCAAUCAAAUGCCUUAUCAGCUGUGUCCUUUUGAUCAAAAAGUCCUCCGGGUAUAAUGCACUAUAUAUGAGACACUGCCUGAACUUGUCAUCUUUCAAAUGCGCAUAACUAAAUUUUAGCUGCUCAAGCACCUUAUCCAUGUCCUUAAACCCCUUUGUAGAUUCCCUCAACUCCUCUAGAGCAUUUUCCCAUACAAAUAUGUCAUCUUCGCCCUUCAUACUACCAGCUAUAGUGAUAAUUGCAAGGGGCAAGCAGGUACAUUCAUCAGCAACUUGUUUUGCUGUUGCUUCUAAUUCCGGGGUAAUAAAAACUUGACGUCCAACUUUUUCCACAAAUAAGUUCCAUGCCUCCUCUUCAGUAAGACGCUCCAUUUUGAUAUCCUUGCAACCCAUGCUCUGACAAAUGUUAAGCAAUCGAGUUGUUAAUACUAAUUUGCAUCCAUUAUCAGGUGUAGGCUCAGGAAUUCCUACAUCCUCAAGAUUGAAUGCUUCCCACAUAUCAUCAAGCAUUAACAACCAGUUUUGCUUUUCUCCCAGCCAUUUAAAUAACUUGACAGCCAUUCUUGUUUCAUCAUCAUGUUGUGCAAAAUCUAGAUUCAAUGCAGCUGCAAUGUCUUUCUGUAAGUUCCCAAGGUUUAGUGGUUGUGACACUGUCACCCAAAUCACAUUAUCAAAUUUGGCGUGGCCACUUUGGAGUCUGUUGUUGAUAUGCUUCAUAAUGGUUGUUUUUCCAACACCACCCAUGCCAUAAAUUCCAACCUUUCUAACUUCAUUAUCCAUCAAGCAAGUCCAAAUUUCGUCCAUCUUCCUUUUAGCUGUUUCACCAACUAAUGCUGUUGCAGGUAAGAUCCCUCGACCAUCCGCAGGUGUAUCAAUCACCAAACUGUCACCAAAAUCACCCAUUUGACGAAGAUCCUCCACUUCUUGUAUCUUCUUAAAAGCAAGUUUUGCCCAGCAUGCACGUGAAAGAUAUUUCCGCUUCGCAACUUCUUGCUCAAUUUCACCAUUGAUAGUCUCUACAUUUUGCAACCAAAGCUCAACCUCUUUUCUAGGUAAUUUCCCUGGAAAAAGCUCUGCACUUAAUCUUGAAGCUACAUCUUCCUUCCGGCUGUUUAGUUCAUUCACUUUCCUUCUCAAAUUACUCAUAUAUUGGUCCAUGUGUCUAUGAUAUUCCCAGCAGGUUCCUACUGGAGUCCAUAACUUGUUUACAAGUUCUAUAACUGACCCAGCAAUCUCCAUCUACAGAUCGAUGCAUAAGAGACAAUAUUUUACAAUUCCUUGAUAAAAAACCAAACAUAAGAAUUUAACCAUAAAAUUUGUUUAUUUACUAUUAGCAAUAGAUUUCAUGAAGAAGGGUCAAAGGAAUCAUCUAGGGGGAAAAAAGCUACUUUUACAUUAAGAGACAAAGAUUUCAAGAAUCAAAGACACGACUUUCUUCUUCGACUACUACUUCUAAGUUAUAUUUUGAUGCAUAAGGGCAAAUAUUUUGUAAGUCCUUGCUGAAAAAUCAAACAUAAAAAUUUAAUCAUAAAAUUUGUUUAGUUACUAUUAGCAAUCAAUCAAGAAUCAGAAGAUUUCAUGAAGAGCAGUCAAAAGAACCUUUUUGGGGUGGAGAAAAAGCUACUUUUACAUCAUGAAACAAAGAUUUCAAGAAUCAAACACUCAACUCACUUCUUCAACUACUAGUUGUAAGUUAAUAGCAUUGCAAUUAGCCAUUUAAAAUUCUUCAACUAGUAACCACAAGAAUCAAAGCAAAAUAAUGACAGGUAGAUCCAAAUCUGCAAGUUUUCAGAAUAAAAGUACCUGAUUGAUGGAUGUUAACUUUGAUUUAUUUUAAGUACCACAAAAACUCCCUUGCCAGUGUCUCCUCCCUUUUAAGAAUUUGAGAAUAGAAAAUUGAAUUUUCUUGUACACGGAAAAAAAAAGGUUCACUGAAUCAGUAAGAGGAAGAUCAGUAGCAAAUUCCUUGUUGUGUAAAGGAAACAAUAUAAUACAAUAUUCUAACCACCCACUAUUUAAAGAGUAGAAAUAUUUGUCGUGGGACUUUGAAAAGUUAAGCUAUAAAGUUCGUCUUAGCACUUUGUAGUUGUAUCCCUCCUCUGUUAUGAAGCUUAGCAGGCGCGUGGGUUUGUAGACAUUGGGUCAGUUGUAGCCACUUUGUACCACAUAAAAAUCUUCUAUGGAUUUCAUAUUUAGCUAAUAUUUUACACCUGGACACCAUUUAAGCUGAUAUUGGGUCCACAAAUUUCAGGCCAGCUGUAAGCCUUUGAUUAUUAAAAAAAAACAAAAAAAUCUUCCUUCUCGUUCAGAAAACAGACUGACUUGCAAGAAUCUUGCAGACCAAAUUUGCAUUUCAUUGAAUAAUAUGUUGUCUAUAGAAAAGGUAAGGGAUAUAGAAGUCGAAAUCUCUGCAGAAAUUUAUGUUGAAUAAAAAGGAAAAGGGAUCAAAUUUUACUGUUUGUACAUUGAUCAGUUCCGUAUGAGUUGAGUAGCCAUAUGAUUGUAUAUCAUCAGAACUGCAAAGGCAGAACAGCAAACUGCCGUCCACUGAUCACGUGCAACUCAGAUAGUUCCUCGUUGAAGCACAAAUGGAUAUCAUCAGAACAAGCUCGAUUUUUAUAUGGCCAAGCAAGUAUCUGAUGUUGGAAAGCAUGACGGGGAAAAUCUUCAGCUAGAAUCAGAUGAUCACAUCAAAGACUGCUCUAACAGCGAAUAUAUUGUUGUUGUUUCAUUAGGUGAUCCUUUCAGGCAUAUUCCGGCAAAUAACACACGUCAACUUCUGGUAAGCAUAAAUUCAACACAAAAGGUUCAGUGAUGCUAGCCAUUGACAAUCUCACUAAUACAGAGAUUAGAAGCAGCAGUCCUUUGAAAAUAAACUUAUUAGAAUCUCUCUACGCAUCCCCAUUUUUACCAUUUGCUUCAAAACCAACUCAACCUCCCCAAUCAACUUGUCAUUGCAAAGCCCAUGAAUCAACUUCUUGUAAGAUGCAAAACUAGGACUAUUAGCCUCGCAAAUCAUCAUAGCCAUGAAUUCUUUUGCCUCCAAAAACUUCCCGGCAUCAAGCAAACCAUAUAGAACUUCUUGAUAAGACCCUGCAUUUGGUUCGCAUCCCGUGAGCUUCAUUUUCUGCAGCAGCUCCAUCCCAUCUUCAAUCCUUCCUUGUUUCCUUAACCCUGAAAUCAAAAUAUUGAAAGUGAUUGUAUCCGCUUCAAUACCCUCAUUUUCCAUUCUCUCAAGCAAACCAAAUGCCUUAUUCACCUCCCCUUUUGCACAGAAGUAGUGCAUCAGCGUUGAGAAAGUUCUCACAUUAGGCCUGCAUCUUUGUUUGGGAAAUUCGUCGAGCACAUUGAAUGCAAACUGUAAAUCCCCAUUUUCACAUAACCCUUUAAUGAGAAUAUUAAGACAACAAGCAUCAAUUUCUACACCCAAAAUGGGGGCUUUCACAUAUAUCUCAUGAACUACAUAAAAAAGNNNNNNNNNNNNNNNNNNNNNNNNNNNNNNNNNNNNNNNNNNNNNNNNNNNNNNNNNNNNNNNNNNNNNNNNNNNNNNNNNNNNNNNNNNNNNNNNNNNNNNNNNNNNNNNNNNNNNNNNNNNNNNNNNNNNNNNNNNNNNNNNNNNNNNNNNNNNNNNNNNNNNNNNNNNNNNNNNNNNNNNNNNNNNNNNNNNNUUCAAUGGCAUCAAAGUUUUUGGCACAGGCAAGCUGGUUUAUAACAACAGUGAAAAUAGCUUCAUUGGGUUUAUAGUCUUUUCUCUUUGAGUAUUGAUUCCAGAUAGAGAUAACUGAAUCUGGGUCUUUAAUGUCUUCGAAAAUCUUUAAAACUUCAUUUGGAGACAACCAGUCUUUAUGGUUCAGUUUGUAAUGAGUAUGAGGCGGAUGUUGGGUUGACUGCGAAGAAGAUGGUACAGUAGAGCAAGAGAAAAACGAAGGGAAUAUAGAAAUUGGGUGAUGGACAGUGCGUCUUGAAUGAGCUUGAAGAGAGUGAAAGAUUGAUUUGUGAACUAGAAAUGAACGGAAAAGCAUUCUGUUCGUCUUCGAUUUGCAGGCUGGUGGUUUCGUGCGAGAACUUAUGAGUUAGGAUUCCUACCUCGUGCAAACCGCAAAGCAAGCACCGAACGAGUAACCAUUUUUCUCUUAAGCAAAUAAUAUUUUGCGCUAAGCAAGCUUCAAGGAUAUUGAGAAUUAAGCCAUUUUGACAACUUCCAACUGGAAGAUAGUUUCCUUUUUCUUUUUUAUUUGCGCUAUCAUCUGGAUCAGAUUAUGUAUCGGGUCGAGCCGUCAAUUGAUAUCAGAUCUCCUCGGUUAGGUGGAAUUUGCGAGUCUUCCUCAAGUCGGACUUUAUCAUAUCGGGUUGUCAUCCUAUUACCUUCUUGUUGAAUUUAACGCAAAAAUUAAAAAAAUUAUUGAAUCACUUCGAUUUUCAAAAAUAAGUAUAAAAUUGAAAUAUAAUAAUUAAUGUUAUCGUGUACUUAAACUUGUAAAUUUCAGUAAUUUAUGUACUUUCUAUACUAACAAUUUUUGAUUUUUAUACGUAAAAUACCCGUUUAAUUAUAGCUAGCAUAAUUUUUUGUUACUAGGCUCCGUCUAUUUCAAAAAAAAAACUUACUAGAAACUAUUUUUCAAAUAAUUUAUUUUCUGUUGUUCGGUUACAGUAUUGAAAAUUCAUUAAAAAUAUUAAAAUUUUAAUUCAUAAUAAUAAUAAUAAUAAUAAAUUUCAUAUUUUAAAAUUUUUAUUGUUAAAUAUGAGAAUAGUGAAAAAAAUGAUAAAUUAUGAAAGCAUGCUACUAACCGAUGGUCGUAUCCAAUGGUGGUGGUAGCUAUCAAUUAUUAAUAAAUUAAAAAAAUUAGAAAAUUUAUAAUGUUAUAAUAAGUUUGCCAAAUCUAGAAAAUAUUUUACGCCCUUGAAAAUAGAAAGUCAUUUUCCUUAAACAUGAAUUUUUUUUUUUAUUAGGAAAAUAUUUUUUAUUAACUUAUUUUCGUAAAUGCCUCUAGACAACAAUACAUUAUGAAAAAUAUGUUCCAGUAAUUUAUUUUACGCAAAUACCGGAGCCUAAAAAAAAAAUUAUUUUCAUAAUUGCAAGAUAAUCAAGCCAAAUAAGAAAAAGUAUUUUUAUUAGAUGAAAUUGUAACUCACACAUAACCAAUGGAUGAUUAUGAGCAGGCCAAGAAGCAAUUCCAACCUGCCUUCCUCUCAAAAGAGGUGCUAGAGAGAGAGAGAGAUCAACAUUUUGUAAUUUCUUGAAAUUAUUUAAAUUUAUUAUCUAGCCAUUAUAUAAAUAACCUAGAUGUGAACUUGAACAUCAGCCAAUUGACUAAAAUUCAUUGGUGUCAUAUACUUAGCAUCUCCAGUGUAGAGGCUGUCAGCUAACAAUUGAGAAGCUGCUUGAGAUGGAUGAUACAAAUCCCAAAACAAGUACUCACUUCUUCAUUUGUGGGCAGUCAUAAAUAACAACCUCUCCAAGGUUUUGAAGUAGUAGAAGCAACCCAGGUUUGAACAGACUCCUUAUAUUUGAACAACCUUGGAUUUUGAGAACUGUGAGACUGGAAAAGGCACUAGGAAGAACUGAUUGUGGUGUAGCAUGCAAAGAAGAUGAUGUCAUUGCCAGGCUUUCUUUUCCUGAAUUAAAACGAAUUUCAUUCUUCUGUGUUGAAAAAUAGCUCAAGGUUUUGAAAUUGUGGCACCUCUCAAUACUCAGGAACUCAACAUCAAUUGGGACCAAAAGUGAAUCUUCUAUGCCGUCUUCACUGAUGCCAUAAUCAAUUAUUCUUACAACUUUUUUAACUUUUUUGAAGUCUCCAGCUUUAUACAAGUCCUUCUCUCCCAGUUGUAGAAAGUACUUUCUCAGCACUCGGCCAUGCAGAGACCCAACAAGUAUAUUAAAACUAGAUAAACUGUAAGAUUGACAUUCAAUUUUUUCUAUCAUUUUCAAGCCUACCAAUUCCUCACCUUUUACUUUCAAAUUUUUUGAUCUGCACCACAGUCGGAAAUAUUCAAGGCAAGAGAGCUUUGGUAAUAUUCCGAUUGGGAACUCUAGAUCUCGCACAUAGAGAUUAAGAUACCUGAGAUUGAUCAAACUUUCCAUGCCUUCAGGUACAUGUUGGAUUCCAGUAUAUCUAAGAUCCAACUCCCUUAGUGCACCUAGCUUUGCUACAGAAGGCACGGACUGCAAUAAUGCUUAAGAUACAAUGCAACAAGAUUCUCCAAUGUGGAGAUGGAGUUUGGUAAACUCUUAAUUCCAGUAUAAGACAGAUCCAGAAGCCUCAAAACAUGCAUGCAUGAAAAGAAAGAAUCUGGAAUUCUAACCAGAUCUUUAUUCUGUGCCAGUAACAUGGUUUGAAGUUUUGGACAUUUUGGUGACAAUCUAGAAGGAAUUUCUGAUAUGUGAUUGUCAAUCAAGGAUACGCUCUCAAGUUCCUCCGUCCAUCUGUUCGCAUUUGGUAAUUCUCUUAACCGAACUCCAGCUUCUACAAGCAAUUGAUGAUCCAUGCUUUUCAUCUGUAUUACCAUCUCCCUAAUUAGGUCAUGCAUCUUCACAUAUUUCUUAUCACGAAUGCUUUCCAAAAGACAAGCAUUUUCAAGCUUGUUUAGCAUAGCAUAUCCAUUGACAAACUCUGCU
rnacentral:lncRNA from 1 species